ACUCCUACGGGAGGCAGCAGUAGGGAAUCUUCCACAAUGGGCGCAAGCCUGAUGGAGCAACACCGCGUGAGUGAAGAAGGGUUUCGGCUCGUAAAGCUCUGUUGUUAAAGAAGAACACGUAUGAGAGUAACUGUUCAUACGUUGACGGUAUUUAACCAGAAAGUCACGGCUAACUACGUGCCAGCAGCCGCGGUAAUACGUAGGUGGCAAGCGUUAUCCGGAUUUAUUGGGCGUAAAGAGAGUGCAGGCGGUUUUCUAAGUCUGAUGUGAAAGCCUUCGGCUUAACCGGAGAAGUGCAUCGGAAACUGGAUAACUUGAGUGCAGAAGAGGGUAGUGGAACUCCAUGUGUAGCGGUGGAAUGCGUAGAUAUAUGGAAGAACACCAGUGGCGAAGGCGGCUACCUGGUCUGCAACUGACGCUGAGACUCGAAAGCAUGGGUAGCGAACAAGAUUAGAUACCCCUGGUAGGAUAGCG
rnacentral:rRNA from 1 species